rnacentral:lncRNA from 1 species
AAUGAGAAGAAUCAAUAUUAAAAGAUCGCAAUUAGAAUCAAUAUUUAUAAUAUGCACAAGAUCACUGUAAGGGGGCGUUUGGUUCGCACUAUGAAACAUUACUAGAAAUAAAAAAAUGUCCGAGAAUUUUUUUUUUAUUCAUCCUAUUACUAAGAAUGUGGCAUUACUGUGUUUGUUUCAUACGGUUAUAUUAUUUAGUCAUGUUAUGUAAUAUUACAAAAAAUAUACAAUUAAUUAAUUAAUUUUUUUAAUUAAUUUUAAAUAAUGCUAUCAAAAAUUUCAACAUCUUUUUAGAAAAAAGGGAGAGAGAACAUAGGUUAGAGAGAGAGAGUAUAAUUAAAGAANUUUUUUAAUUAAUUUUAAAUAAUGCUAUCAAAAAUUUCAACAUCUUUUUAGAAAAAAGGGAGAGAGAAGAUAGGUUAGAGAGAGAGAGCAUAAUUAAAGAAAUAGAAAGAGAAAUAGAAUCGAGAUUAGAGGGAGUGAGAGAGUUGAGAUUCUAAAAAAAGAGGGGGAGAGAGAGCUUAGUUUAGAGAGAGAAAAAGAGUUGAAGUGUAGAGAAAAAAAGAUAAGUUUAGAGAGAGAUAUGAGGUUAGAGUGUAAAAGAAAAUAAUACCAACUAGCUGGCGGUUAGAGGGAAAGAAAAAGAUUAAACAUAUUAUGAUUAUCCCAAUCUAUUAAUAUGAGGAUACCCACCCUCCCUUAAGGGAAUGAGAUUAGUACUUUGGAAUAAAUCUCAUUUCCAAAUAAAUUUAAUAUUACCAACUAGAUUACUUAGUGCGUUUAGCCAAACACUGUCAUAUUUUUUUAUUUCUAUUGGAUUACUAGAAAUCUUAAAAAGAUAGUGCGAACCAAACGCAUCCUAAGUGUAAUCUGAUAUGGAGUUGAACAUGAAUGAAACACAAGAU